rnacentral:lncRNA from 1 species
GUGUGUCUCUCUGUCCCCAAAUCUCCCUUUCCUUAUAGUGAAUGCAGUCUUAGGCUUUAGGUCCAGUCAAUCCAGUAUGACCUCAUCUCAACUUGAUUCCACCUUCCGGACCCAAUUUCCAAAUAAGGUCACGUUCAUAGGUACCGCAGGUUAGGACUUCAACAUGCCUUUUUAGGGAACAUAACUCAACAACCACUACAGAGUAUUAUCAAAUAAUCCGUGGAAUUUCAACACUGAUUUCCAGAUCGUCUACUAAAGGAAAGGGUGAGGUAAAGAACCUUGGAUAUUUUUCAGUCAGGUCCUCCAAGUUGGAAUGCUUAGCAUCCAAACAACGUGCAGAUGCCUACUGUGAAACAACACGCCUCCUGACCACAAACACCACUGGGAAGAAAGAAAAGAGAGUUUUUCCACAUUGGCAAAUGACUUUGGUACAAAGAAUGUGUGAAAGCAAAGAGAUUCUUUCCCCUGGGCUUCAUCACUGCAAAUAUGUACUGUCAGGUAGAUUGGCUCUUAGGUCUAAAAUAUAAGACCCUUUGAGCAGAGCGGCUAUAUACAGCAAGUGCAAAAGGUGUUUAUUGUUUGCCUAGAUGUUGUCAGAAUUGAACUUUGAAGGAUAAAGAAAUAAAUGAAAUACUUACCACCUAUUAACGUGUAUGGCAUUCUGGUAGCCGCUAUGGGGAUAUUUGCUCACGUGAGAGCUUACAAUUCUCUAGAUCCAUGGUGUUACGGGCUGAAUUGUGUCCCCCCAAAUUCACACAUUGAAACCUUAAG